UACGGAGGGUGCGAGCGUUGUCCGGAAUCAUUGGGCGUAAAGGGCGCGUAGGUGGCCCGGUCAGUUCGUGGUGAAAGCGCGGGGCUCAACCCUGCGUCGGCCAGGGAUACUGCCGCGGCUCGAGCACUGUAGAGGCAGGCGGAAUUCCGGGUGUAGCGGUGGAAUGCGUAGAGAUCCGGAAGAACACCGGUGGCGAAGGCGGCCUGCUGGGCAGUUUUGCUGACACUGAGGCGCGACAGCGUGGGGAGCAAACAGG
rnacentral:rRNA from 1 species